UGAUUUGUUCAUAUUGUUGUUUUAGUUUUGAUUUUAUCACGUUUUCAACUCAGAUGAUGUUUAGAUAUGUUUGAUUUUGAAUUUUAAACAUAAACAAGUGUUCGAUUUUUGUAUUAUAACUUUACUUAUGUAUUUGCUUUAAUUGGGUGUAAUUAAUUUUGUAAUUGUUUCUGAGCUUUUACUCAUUUCAAUGUAUUACGAACAUGUUUAUGUGGGUUAGGAUUUGUUGAUGUCGAUUCUUAACUUGGCUUUGUUCUAUGUUUAAAUUUUACUCAAGUUUGUGGAUUUUUUUUAUUUGUGCUUCUAAUUGCAAGAUCUGCAAUGUAGAUGGAUGACACCAGGAGCCACACACAAGCGCAUCAGCAUAAAGAAGAGGGCAAAUCAGAGACCCAUGUACAUUGGCGAGGCUGAGUAGGACACUCUAGUGGAGUACUGGGAAACAGAACCAGAAAAGAAGAAGAGAAAGAAUGCUAGAAACCACUUAUCUAAUCAUGAUGGCAUAGGGGUUCACAAGCAUUGUGUAUGUCCUCGACGUUUUUUGCAGAUUGAGCAUGAGAUGAUGAUUGAGUCUGGUUUGGAUGAAGCACCAGCCUUCACUGAUCUUGUGCGGAGGACACACUGACGCAAAGAUGGAAUUUUCACGGAAGUGCUGAUCUCUGUUUUGGAGACUAACUUCAAGCGACUCAACACCAAUGUUUAUGGUUAUAGACGA